ensembl:lncRNA
AUGGAGCGGGAGGCGGCGCCGCGGCCGGCCCCGGCUCCCACAACCCCGCGCGGCACCGGCCCAAGAGCGCGCGGAGCACCAGGGGCGGGGGGGAUUGGCAGGCGCCCGCCCGGCGCUGCCCUGGCGCCCCAGGUGUGUAUGUGUGUGCAGAAAUGUCUGUGGUUUUUAUAUAAAGUCCCUGUGUCUCCUUUGUACGCGUGUGUGCUGCUGCGCCUGGCGCGGCCGCACGCGUCUCCUGGACCGGCGGCGGGAGAGGAACGGUGUCGGCUUUUGCGGCGGUUUGGGGGAAGCUGUGCACGGCUGAUCCCGCAGAGGAGACACAGAGCGGGCGAGUCAGCCUCAUGCUCAUGCUGCCUCCGGCGUCACGUGCGGCAUCCCCAGCAUUGCUUGGGAGCCCCCGUGCCCGGAUUAACAACGCGCCGGGAAGUGCUGGCAGCGUGUGAACGCAGCACUGCUGGGAGCCGCGAGCUUCGCGCCGAGCUAGCGUGUAGGAGCAGGCUCGUCCCCCGGGGACCAGCGCUGCCUGCCUCGCUCCCGGCUGGACCAGCACGCCAAACUUCCUGCCCAGCCUGUUCUGGGACAUCAAAACAGCCACCGGAGGCGUUGCCUGUACCGUGCCAGCAGCCGCAGCCCGCGGGGCCGGAGGGGCGCCAGCCGCGGCUCGCAGAUCCCAUCGGCACCUCGGGGCACCCGAGCCGGAAGGGCAGCACAGCCGGGAGCAAGGCGGCGAUACGUGAGACCCGGCGGCGGCAGCGCCCCUGCGAUGGCCAAGCGCCAGCCUGCCCAGCACACACCAGCGUCCAAGGCGCCAACCGUGAAGGACACAGGGACUCACGCCAGCCCCCGGACAUGUCAUGCGUGGCACCGGAGCCCAGGCAGCGGCUUGCAGCGCGCCUCUCGCGGGAAAGCCUGCGCGUGUGGCAGGAGUGCUAUUCCGAGAGGCAAGGCUGGACUUGGGCUUGCUGCAAAGUGCCAUUCCAGCACAGGGAAAGCUGUUUCAAGCCAUCUGGCAGCUGGCCAGGGCAAAGUCUGCUCGCUGAACAGACACAAAGGGCUCCAGCACUGCCCCAAAGCAAAGGUAGCUGCUGCCUGCCCUGGAUUUUCCUUUGUGCCUCUUGCUUGAGAGAGCUGAGCUCUUUGUGCAGCAGCUGA